CUAAUGACGGUACCGUAAGAAUAAGCACCGGCUAACUACGUGCCAGCAGCCGCGGUAAUACGUAGGGUGCAAGCGUUAAUCGGAAUUACUGGGCGUAAAGCGUGCGCAGGCGGUUAUGUAAGACAGUUGUGAAAAUCCCCGGGCUCAACCUGGGAACUGCAUCUGUGACUGCAUAGCUAGAGUACGGUAGAGGGGGAUGGAAUUCCACGUGUAGCAGUGAAAUGCGUAGAGAUGUGGAGGAACACCGAUGGCGAAGGCAGUCCCCUGGGAUAAGACUGACGCUCAUGCACGAAAGCGUGGGGAGCAAACAGGAUUAGAUACCCUGGUAGUCCACGCCCUAAACGAUGUCUACUAGUUGUUGGGGUAGCAAUACCUCAGUGACGCAGCUAACGCGUGAAGUAGACCGCCUGGGGAGUACGGUCGCAAGAUUAAAACUCAAAGGAAUUGACGGGGCCCGCACAAGCGGUGGAUUAUGUGGAUUAAUUCGAUGCAACGCGAAAAAACCUUACCUGGCC
rnacentral:rRNA from 1 species